UACGGAGGGUGCAAGCGUUAAUCGGAAUUACUGGGCGUAAAGCGUGCGCAGGCGGUUUGUUAAGUCUGCUGUGAAAUCCCCGAGCUCAACUUGGGAAUUGCAGUGGAUACUGGCAAGCUGGAGUACGGUAGAGGAAGGUGGAAUUCCCGGUGUAGCAGUGAAAUGCGUAGAGAUCGGGAGGAACACCAGUGGCGAAGGCGGCCUUCUGGACCAGUACUGACGCUGAGGCGCGAAAGCGUGGGGAGCAAACAGG
rnacentral:rRNA from 1 species